CCGCACUACUAGGUGACUGGACUUCCUGUUUGGUGGUCUUCUAGUCUCACUGAUGUGCCAGAUAAACCUCAGUUUGCAGAAGGGUUGAGCUAGACCAUUGGUUCCCCCCUUUCGAAGACUGAGAACAAGC